UAUCAGGAUAACAGUCCAGGCUCUCCUGA
rnacentral:piRNA from 1 species